CCUACGGGUGGCAGCAGUGAGGAAUAUUGGUCAAUGGGCGCGAGCCUGAACCAGCCAAGUCGCGUGAGGGAGGACGGCCCUACGGGUUGUAAACCUCUUUUGCCGGGGAGCAACGGGCGUCACGUGUGGCGCCACUGAGAGUACCCGGAGAAAAAGCAUCGGCUAACUCCGUGCCAGCAGUCGCGGUAAUACGGAGGAUGCGAGCGUUAUCCGGAUUUAUUGGGUUUAAAGGGUGCGUAGGCGGAUCGUUAAGUCAGUGGUCAAAUUGAGGGGCUCAACCCCUUCCCGCCAUUGAAACUGGCGCUCUUGAGUGGAAGAGAAGUAUGCGGAAUGCGUGGUGUAGCGGUGAAAUGCAUAGAUAUUGCGCAGAACUCCGAUUGCGAAGGCAGCAUACCGGCGGCGAUCUGACGCUGAGGCACGAAAGCGUGGGUAUCGAACAGGAUUAGAUACCCGUGUAGUC
rnacentral:rRNA from 1 species